UCUUCGUUUUUGUGAGCUCGGUGUUUGCACGUGAGACAACUGUUUUCUUCGUACGCGUCUAAUUUCUCAGAAUGUGUUGUGUGAGAUGGGAUUGCUAAGCAGCAGUGGGAUAUGUUACCGGAAUGGGCUGUAGCGAAUCCUAGAGUAGGAGCGAGUCUUCUCACAGAAUCGAGACAAUCAAGAUGGCAUCGAAAGGCGGCCCUGCCGCGUCCUCGCUGUGUGCUGGAUAGAAGAAGAAACUGCGGUUCCGGACCAAAUUUCGUGUUACAGCGUUGACGACGACGAAUGCGUUGGGGGAGCCGGGGCGAGCUGUACCACGCGGGCAAGCAGUACCUCCUCGAAAAGGAGGACACAAGUUGCAGUGCAGGCCGCGACUUUUACUUGGUGUGUGUGAGUGUGUGCCUGUGUUGACAUCAACCAAGAAACUUCCCUGACACUAUUCGUGAGAAAAGAACGACGCGCACUGCAAAGCAGCUAGCCAGAAGGUGUGCAGAAAAAGGAAAACCAGGUGCUGAAGUGUCAGCUAGACACCUCGGAGAACACAAUCAGUGCAGCCAGGAUUGCAAACACAUUGCGGAGCUCUCCUGCCUAAAGUCCAGCGAAGGAGCAGGAGGUUUCAUUUCGUGUGACAAGGUCUGGGUGAAGCAGAUUCCAGAGGUGAUUAACCAGAUGAGGCUUAGUUAAGGAUCCUGACCAUUUCACUCAGAUUCACUCCAAACAAGAGCUCCUAACUGUAUACCCCAGGAGCAACAAGAGAGGUCAUGUCUGAACGUGCACCUCAGAACCAGAAAGCAGUUUCAGCAGGGCAGCGCAGGACAAGAUGCUGAGGACACAGUGACCACCCUGCAACGAAAGUCUUGCCUGUGUCCCAUGUGAUGAACAGUUGUCUACCCAUAGUUUUCAACAUUACAUACUUUGGGCCGCUUGAACAGCUCAGCUCUUAUGUACCGGUAUCUGCACAGUUAACCAAUCUCCCGCUUCCGUGGCUUUGCCCCGAUAAGUGCCCAACUAACAGUUGACGACGCAAACACUAGUGAACUCGUCCAGGGGUGGCUGGAUUUUUCUUUUACUGUAUUCCCGUGUGCACUCGUGCUCUAUGACGAAAACACGCACGCGUGCACAGAACAUCAGAAAAAAAUAUAAGAAGUCUGCAAUCUGCCUCUUUUUUUUGUGUGUGUGUGUGUCUCAUACGGCAUAUCUUCGUUUGUAAGUGCGAGGUGGGGCCCGCCCUGGACGAGCUCUCUUGUGUUUGCGUCGUCAGCCGCUAGUUGGGCACUUAUCGGAGCAAAGCCACGAGAGCGGGAGAUCGGUUAACUGUGCGGAUACCUGUACACAAAAAGAUUUAGGACAUUACAGCAAAAGCUCGGUAUACUUGAGCAAAGCUCCCAGAAUUUUUACAACUUUGCACUGCUGAGAAUUCAGUUAGUUUAACAGCUGUGAUGUCUCACUACUUGCAUUUUCCCCAAGUAAAUCUUGGUCCCUGUUGCAAACGCCCUUGCCAAACAAAAGUGCCAUGUUCUCCGGUCCAUAAAAUAGUCUUAUUACUGAUGUGAGGCCACAGAGACAGUGGUCAGUAAUUUAGAUACCUGUUUGGAUUUUCACCUUUUAUCCCUUAGAUAUUUAUAGAUUUACCUCAGGUGCAAACAGUUAUGCUUUUAGGCUGCAGCAGAGCACCCUUUUGUGUUCCUAGUGACCUUUUGAUUGGCUUGCUGGUGCUUAACGAAUUUACACUCAGUCUUCUGUGCUGCUGUGCACACAAAGGUCAUGUGCCAUUAUGACAUUAUGUACAGCUUAUAUAAAGAUUUUCCAAUUUUGGAAUAUGUCCUGUACACCUUAGCAAGCCUCACACAAAUUUCGUAAGUUUUAGUGCUUGGCGUUGCUUACAGUUUAGUUUCUCGUGUUGACAACUAUUCAUUUCGAUUGGUUGUAUUUGUCACAUUCAUUUUACCGGUGAAUAUGCAGAGCCAAUUCAGUAACAAGCAAUCUGUUUUGCGUGCUGUUUUUCGAUACCUGUUGCAAAAAAUCUUUGCCAAACAAGAGCAUCGUGUACUAUAAAAGCACGUUUGUCUGAGAGAUGCAUCUUUUCAAAGUUUUCUUGUCGUCCUUUCCGUGUCCUAUUCUUUGCCAAGAUGACAAUGGGGAAUUGUGUGACCACAGACUGCAGCUUUUAGACAACUGUGUCCAGUUACUCUGGUCCAUAAAAAGGCACAGUAUAUGUGCCUUUUUUUACCUCAGUGGUUUUUAUACCCUUACAGUUUAGCUUUUUAUACAUGUGUAUGUACUAUUAGCAUUUACCUAAAGGUACAGUUUUACCUCUGCCUUCAGGGCAAAGCAGAGGACUAUUUUUUGUGAUAGUGAGUUUACCGAUGAUCUCGCCGGUGCUCUAAGUUCACCCUGUACGCAAGGCACGUAUGACCAUCUUGAUAUGCUCUCACACAAGUUUUGUUUUGCAAUUUACAUCUUAUAUAAGUUCUUCGCAAUAUUUUGUUACUGUGCCUUACAUUUGCUGUUGAUGUGUGAGGUUAUUUGCUUCCAUCUACCGGAAGGUUUUUAUGAAUAAACCUAGUUAUUUUUACAUUUG